rnacentral:rRNA from 1 species
ACCNGUCAUCCGAAGCAUCUGNUUUAAAGUUUGAUCAUGGCUCACAGUGAACGUAGGCGGUAGGCCUAACACAUGCAAGUCGAACGGCAGCACAGUAAGAGCUUGCUCUUACGGGUGGCGAGUGGCGGACGGGUGAGGAAUACAUCGGAAUCUAUUCUGUCGUGGGGGAUAACGUAGGGAAACUUACGCUAAUACCGCAUACGACCUACGGGUGAAAGCAGUGGGAUCUUCGGACCUUGCGCGAUUGAAUGAGCCAAUGUCGGAUUAGCUAGUUGGCGGGGUAAAGGCCCACCAAGGCGACGAUCCGUAGCUGGUCUGAGAGGAUGAUCAGCCACACUGGAACUGAGACACGGUCCAGACUCCUACGGGAGGCAGCAGUGGGGAAUAUUGGACAAUGGGCGCAAGCCUGAUCCAGCCAUACCGCGUGGGUGAAGAAGGCCUUCGGGUUGUAAAGCCCUUUUGUUGGGAAAGAAAUCCGGCCGGCUAAUACCUGGUUGGGAUGACGGUACCCAAAGAAUAAGCACCGGCUAACUUCGUGCCAGCAGCCGCGGUAAUACGAAGGGUGCAAGCGUUACUCGGAAUUACUGGGCGUAAAGCGUGCGUAAGUGGUUAUUUAAGUCCGUUGUGAAAAGC